UGUCUCUUACACAGCCCCCCAC
rnacentral:piRNA from 1 species